rnacentral:lncRNA from 1 species
GACACCUCAAUGAGAGCAAAUUCCGUAAGAGUGAUUUGUGAGAGCAUAAGUUACUUUUUUGGUAUACACAGUGAGUGAAGAGAAUAUUUUAUAUUUUAGGAUUUCAUAAAUAAAAUAAUAAAUUAAAAAAAUAAAAUUAGGUAGGUGGGUAGGCGGGUCAAUCCGGUCCACCACGGAUUCAACCCGUAUGAACCAAGUUUAAAUAAGCCGGGUUAAAAUCUAACUCGCAUAAAAAAAAUUUAAUUUUUUCAAACCCAACC